rnacentral:rRNA from 1 species
UGACGAGUUUGAUCCUGGCUCAGAGCGAACGCUGGCGGCAGGCUUAACACAUGCAAGUCGAGCGGGCCCUUCGGGGGUCAGCGGCAGACGGGUGAGUAACACGUGGGAACGUGCCCUUCGGUUCGGAAUAACGCAGGGAAACUUGCGCUAAUACCGGAUACGCCCUUUUGGGGAAAGGUUUACUGCCGAAGGAUCGGCCCGCGUCUGAUUAGCUAGUUGGUGAGGUAAUGGCUCACCAAGGCGACGAUCCUUAGCUGGUCUGAGAGGAUGAUCAGCCACACUGGGACUGAGACACGGCCCAGACUCCUAC